rnacentral:rRNA from 1 species
UACGGAGGGGGUUAGCGUUGUUCGGAAUGACUGGGCGUAAAGCGCGCGUAGGCGGCCCGGUAAGUCCGCUCUGAAAGUCCAGGGCUCAACCCUGGAAAGCGGGUGGAUACUGCCGGGCUAGAGUCCGGAAGAGGCGAGUGGAAUUCCUGGUGUAGCGGUGGAAUGCGCAGAUAUCAGGAGGAACACCGGUGGCGAAGGCGGGUCUCUGGGCCGAUGACUGACGCUGAGGAGCGAAGCGUGGGGAGCAACAGGAUUAGAACGUCGUAGUCA